rnacentral:tRNA from 2 species
GGGGAUAUAGUUCAAAUAAUAACAUUUAAUUUGCAAUUAAAAAUUACUUAAAUAAAAAGUUUUCCUCA